GCGGGCGUAGUUUACCGGUAAAAUGCGUCCUUCCCAAGGAUGAGUAGGCAGUUCAAUUCUGCUCGCCCGCU
rfam:Microgenomates (Woesebacteria) bacterium GW2011_GWB1_41_10 TT32_C0029, whole genome shotgun sequence.